AAUAGAUACCCAGGUAGUCCACGCCGUAAACGAUGAGUGCUAAGUGUUAGAGGGUUUCCGCCCUUUAGUGCUGCAGCUAACGCAUUAAGCACUCCGCCUGGGGAGUACGGUCGCAAGACUGAAACUCAAAGGAAUUGACGGGGGCCCGCACAAGCGGUGGAGCAUGUGGUUUAAUUCGAAGCAACGCGAAGAACCUUACCAGGUCUUGACAUCCCACUGACCGGUAUAGAGAUAUACCUUUCCCUUCGGGGACAGUGGUGACAGGUGGUGCAUGGUUGUCGUCAACUCGUGUCGUGAGAUGUUGGGUUAAGUCCCGCAACGAGCGCAACCCUUGAUCUUGGUUGCCAGCAUUUAGUUGGGCACUCUAAGGUGACUGCCGGUGACAAACCGGAGGAAGGUGGGGAUGACGUCAAAUCAUCAUGCCCCUUAUGACCUGGGCUACACACGUGCUACAAUGGAUGGUACAAAGGGCUGCAAGACUGCGAAGUCAAGCCAAUCCCAUAAACCAUUCUCAGUUCGGAUUGCAGG
rnacentral:rRNA from 1 species